rnacentral:rRNA from 1 species
UAUUCCCUACGGGGCGCAGCAGUGGGGAAUAUUGCACAAUGGGGGGAACCCUGAUGCAGCGACGCCGCGUGAGUGAAGAAGUAUUUCGGUAUGUAAAGCUCUGUCAGCAGGGAAGAAGAAAGACGGUACCUGACCAAGAAGCCCCGGCUAACUACGUGCCAGCAGCCGCGGUAAUACGUAGGGGGCAAGCGUUAUCCGGAUUUACUGGGUGUAAAGGGAGCGUAGGCGGUGCAGCAAGUCAGAAGUGAAAGCCCGGGGCUCAACUCCGGGACUGCUUUUGAAACUGUUGAACUAGAGUGCAGGAG